GCACUACUGAGGAGUCCCAUGCCAGGACGAAACAGCCGUCCGGUAC
rfam:Schistosoma haematobium scaffold2388_4, whole genome shotgun sequence.